rnacentral:rRNA from 1 species
CCUGGUGGUUAUAGAAAGGGGGAAACACCUGUUCCCAUUCCGAACACAGAAGUUAAGCCUCUUAUCGCCGAUGGUACUGCACGGGUGACUGUGUGGGAGAGUAGGACGCUGCCAGGA